GGUUAAGCGACUAAGCGUACACGGUGGAUGCCCUGGCAGUCAGAGGCGAUGAAGGACGUGCUAAUCUGCGAUAAGCGUCGGUAAGGUGAUAUGAACCGUUAUAACCGGCGAUUUCCGAAUGGGGAAACCCAGUGUGUUUCGACACACUAUCAUUAACUGAAUCCAUAGGUUAAUGAGGCGAACCGGGGGAACUGAAACAUCUAAGUACCCCGAGGAAAAGAAAUCAACCGAGAUUCCCCCAGUAGCGGCGAGCGAACGGGGAGCAGCCCAGAGCCUGAAUCAGUAUGUGUGUUAGUGGAAGCGUCUGGAAAGGCGCGCGAUACAGGGUGACAGCCCCGUACACAAAAAUGCACAUGCUGUGAGCUCGAUGAGUAGGGCGGGACACGUGGUAUCCUGUCUGAAUAUGGGGGGACCAUCCUCCAAGGCUAAAUACUCCUGACUGACCGAUAGUGAACCAGUACCGUGAGGGAAAGGCGAAAAGAACCCCGGCGAGGGGAGUGAAAAAGAACCUGAAACCGUGUACGUACAAGCAGUGGGAGCACAGAGCAAUCUGUGUGACUGCGUACCUUUUGUAUAAUGGGUCAGCGACUUAUAUUCUGUAGCAAGGUUAACCGAAUAGGGGAGCCGAAGGGAAACCGAGUCUUAACUGGGCGUUAAGUUGCAGGGUAUAGACCCGAAACCCGGUGAUCUAGCCAUGGGCAGGUUGAAGGUUGGGUAACACUAACUGGAGGACCGAACCGACUAAUGUUGAAAAAUUAGCGGAUGACUUGUGGCUGGGGGUGAAAGGCCAAUCAAACCGGGAGAUAGCUGGUUCUCCCCGAAAGCUAUUUAGGUAGCGCCUCGUGAAUUCAUCUCCGGGGGUAGAGCACUGUUUCGGCAAGGGGGUCAUCCCGACUUACCAACCCGAUGCAAACUGCGAAUACCGGAGAAUGUUAUCACGGGAGACACACGGCGGGUGCUAACGUCCGUCGUGAAGAGGGAAACAACCCAGACCGCCAGCUAAGGUCCCAAAGUCAUGGUUAAGUGGGAAACGAUGUGGGAAGGCCCAGACAGCCAGGAUGUUGGCUUAGAAGCAGCCAUCAUUUAAAGAAAGCGUAAUAGCUCACUGGUCGAGUCGGCCUGCGCGGAAGAUGUAACGGGGCUAAACCAUGCACCGAAGCUGCGGCAGCGACGCUGAUGCGUUGUUGGGUAGGGGAGCGUUCUGUAAGCCUGUGAAGGUGUACUGUGAGGUAUGCUGGAGGUAUCAGAAGUGCGAAUGCUGACAUAAGUAACGAUAAAGCGGGUGAAAAGCCCGCUCGCCGGAAGACCAAGGGUUCCUGUCCAACGUUAAUCGGGGCAGGGUGAGUCGACCCCUAAGGCGAGGCCGAAAGGCGUAGUCGAUGGGAAACAGGUUAAUAUUCCUGUACUUGGUGUUACUGCGAAGGGGGGACGGAGAAGGCUAUGUUGGCCGGGCGACGGUUGUCCCGGUUUAAGCGUGUAGGCUGGUUUUCCAGGCAAAUCCGGAAAAUCAAGGCUGAGGCGUGAUGACGAGGCACUACGGUGCUGAAGCAACAAAUGCCCUGCUUCCAGGAAAAGCCUCUAAGCAUCAGGUAACAUCAAAUCGUACCCCAAACCGACACAGGUGGUCAGGUAGAGAAUACCAAGGCGCUUGAGAGAACUCGGGUGAAGGAACUAGGCAAAAUGGUGCCGUAACUUCGGGAGAAGGCACGCUGAUAUGUAGGUGAAGCGACUUGCUCGUGGAGCUGAAAUCAGUCGAAGAUACCAGCUGGCUGCAACUGUUUAUUAAAAACACAGCACUGUGCAAACACGAAAGUGGACGUAUACGGUGUGACGCCUGCCCGGUGCCGGAAGGUUAAUUGAUGGGGUCAGCGCAAGCGAAGCUCUUGAUCGAAGCCCCGGUAAACGGCGGCCGUAACUAUAACGGUCCUAAGGUAGCGAAAUUCCUUGUCGGGUAAGUUCCGACCUGCACGAAUGGCGUAAUGAUGGCCAGGCUGUCUCCACCCGAGACUCAGUGAAAUUGAACUCGCUGUGAAGAUGCAGUGUACCCGCGGCAAGACGGAAAGACCCCGUGAACCUUUACUAUAGCUUGACACUGAACAUUGAGCCUUGAUGUGUAGGAUAGGUGGGAGGCUUUGAAGUGUGGACGCCAGUCUGCAUGGAGCCGACCUUGAAAUACCACCCUUUAAUGUUUGAUGUUCUAACGUUGACCCGUAAUCCGGGUUGCGGACAGUGUCUGGUGGGUAGUUUGACUGGGGCGGUCUCCUCCUAAAGAGUAACGGAGGAGCACGAAGGUUGGCUAAUCCUGGUCGGACAUCAGGAGGUUAGUGCAAUGGCAUAAGCCAGCUUGACUGCGAGCGUGACGGCGCGAGCAGGUGCGAAAGCAGGUCAUAGUGAUCCGGUGGUUCUGAAUGGAAGGGCCAUCGCUCAACGGAUAAAAGGUACUCCGGGGAUAACAGGCUGAUACCGCCCAAGAGUUCAUAUCGACGGCGGUGUUUGGCACCUCGAUGUCGGCUCAUCACAUCCUGGGGCUGAAGUAGGUCCCAAGGGUAUGGCUGUUCGCCAUUUAAAGUGGUACGCGAGCUGGGUUUAGAACGUCGUGAGACAGUUCGGUCCCUAUCUGCCGUGGGCGCUGGAGAAUUGAGGGGGGCUGCUCCUAGUACGAGAGGACCGGAGUGGACGCAUCACUGGUGUUCGGGUUGUCAUGCCAAUGGCACUGCCCGGUAGCUAAAUGCGGAAGAGAUAAGUGCUGAAAGCAUCUAAGCACGAAACUUGCCCCGAGAUGAGUUCUCCCUGACUCCUUGAGAGUCCUGAAGGAACGUUGAAGACGACGACGUUGAUAGGCCGGGUGUGUAAGCGCAGCGAUGCGUUGAGCUAACCGGUACUAAUGAACCGUGAGGCUUAACCUU
rnacentral:rRNA from 1 species